ensembl:lncRNA
AAGAGUCUUUUGUACAACCUUCAAAAUUUGGUGUUGACGAUAUGUCAAGUAAUUUGGAGAUUGCCUGUGCUUGCUAUUUUUUCCCCUUCUAGGAAUGGGUAUAUUGCUGGUGUUCAUUUAAGGAAGAAAAUGGGCAUUCUCUCUGGCCAUGUUAAAGUAUUGAUGUCAUUAUGGUUGUGCCUGAACCGAAUAGUGAUGUCAUAGACCUAACUUAAAGAAGUUCUGCCAUAAAAUCUAAAUCAUCCAGCAUUUGACACAUGGACUUUAACCAUACAUGGUCAAACCAUGGUUAACCAUGCACUUUAACCAGAGACCUGGAAGUUAAAUGUGAAACUGGGAAGAGAAGAGAGUUGGAUCUGGUAGACCACAGCUGGCACGGUUCUGAGUUUAGACAGCAUUUAUUUCACUGAUGCACAUCAAUCAAAGAAAGGACCAAGGGAAAAGCAAAACGAGGAUGCCAAGAUAACAUUCAAAUUUUACAGCUAUACCACAAAGUGGAAAUUGUUCUGGGAAAAUGGGACUGUGGAAAAGUUGACAGAAGAAAAUAUCAUCUUUCUGGAGGAUGUCACUUUAUAGUUACACUGUGGGCAAAUUAUUGUUAUUAUAAACAGACAGUUCUACAAUCAGACAAGUUUAAGAAUCCAUAUACCAGAACUAAAAGCAUCCUCUUCAAAUGGUGGUAGAAAAAAAAUUGCAGAGGCUAGCCAAAACGUAUAACUCUCGU